rnacentral:sRNA from 1 species
CUUUUUUCUUCUUUUUU